CAGAGGCUCUGCAUGCCCAGGAGGCUUCUCUGAGACUGGGAAGGAGUGGAAACUCAGUAGCCCGUGGUCCUGGUUGCGCGCUCCCUCCCAUGUCUUCAUUAUCUGAUUUGGUAAAAUAUCUACAAGACGGGGGAGUCCGGGCUGCUUUCUUUGACACUGGUCAUCACUCCACACCUAGACGCUAUGUCCAUGUCUGGAAGAUGCUUUUAAGGAAGUUUUGAUGCAGAGAAGAGUGGCCGGUGCUCUUCCUCGCGUGCCACCAUCUGCUUACUUCCAGAAGCUAAUUAUUUUCAUGUGACUGAUGUGACUAAUAUUUUUUAACGCCUGCAGGGAUGGAUAUUUUCAGCAUUAACAACGUUAAUAAUCAUCAUAACUAACAGAAAGCAGCAGUAUUACAC
rnacentral:lncRNA from 1 species